GGAGCCUGCCCACUCUGCAUAUCUCACUGAAGGGAAACAGCCAGGAUUUGUUGGUUAGCACCAUUGCUUUCCACUUAGUGCUGUCCUCAUGGCUCACCCGGUGAAUUCACUAAUGCUGCUGAGGACAUCGGUGUGCUCUCUAAUGUGGAUGCUGUGUGAUGUGAUGUUCCCACUUCUGACCUGGAGAGCUGCUCAGCCUUGUAUUCCUACCACCGGGUUGUCACAACGUGAUGAAGAGACACAAGAAAGACAAGCCUGAUCAGCUUGUAAAUAGAUUAAAAUGCUAUGAUUCAUCAGUUGCUGCUGAGCAGUAGCUGGAUAGGGGGCUGCAUGGAGAGUGGACAUUGUGCCUGUCAAGUUGCAGAGUCUCACUGACCACUAAGUGGGGCAUGCUCCCUGUUCAGUCUAAGCCUAACUGACUUUGGCCACUAGGUGGCAAAAUUCCCAUUUAGAUAUCAAGCAGGGGUCCUUGGUGCGUGCACCCAUCCCUGCACUCAUCUGUGCAGGCCAGACCUGGAGGCACACUCUUGGAGAUGGGUGGGAAACAGCAUCCAUCAGUGAGAACAUGAAUGCACGUAAGUAAGUCUUAACUUGAAAAGAACUCAGCUAAGCCUUUCUUUAAAUUCGGUGUGUCAAUGUGUGUGCAGGUGAGCACAUGCCACAACCUGCAUAUGGAGGUCAGUAGAUUCUUUUCUGCCACCUUGUGGGAUCCUGGGAUCCAAGGGAUAGCCUGAAUAGAAGCAUCUACAGGGCCCAGCAAAGCCUUUCAUCUUUGAACAGAUCAAUCACUCACCAAAUAUUUCUGAGCACCUAUUGUGCACUAGAUAUUAUUCUAUGUGUUGAGAACUUGGCAAUGUAUCAAACAGACACAAUAAAACUUAUAUUAGUGGGACGAGGAAGAAAGAGAUGAGUGACACGGUGUAAUAUACCAUGCAGGAAAUAGUGCUAGAGAAGUGAAAGAAGCUGGGUGAUGGUGGUGAAUGUCUUUAAUCCCAGCACUUAGGAGACAGAGGUAGAUGGAGCUCUGUGAGUUCAAGGACAGCCUAGUCUACAGAGUGAGUUCCAGGACAGCCAGGUUAUGCAGUGAAAUCCUGUCUUGAAAAAACAAAUAAAAAGAAGUGAAGGAAGAUGGUCCUGUUAUAUAGGAAACAAACAACAAAACCCUCCAAAGAACUGUGGAGUUUCAUGUUUCUUUUCAGCUAGAGUCUGUUGUCAAGUUAGCUUCAAGCAUCUCUCACCCCAGUCUCCAGAGGAUCUGGGUGUCUUUCCCACCCAGAGAGUGCACAGCUGGCAGGAAUUUCAUAGAAUCCACCAGAAAUGCCACAGCAGUGGAGGCUGAGGACAAAUUAAGACCAUGCUUGAGGUCAGGUGUAAUGGCACACACCUUUAUCUCAGCACUUGAGAGGCAGAGGUGGGUGGAUCUCUGAGUUUUAGGCCAGCCUGAUCUACAUAGAGUUCCAGGACAGCCGGGGCUGCAUAUUGAGAUCUUGUCUCAAACAAACAAGCAAACAAACAAGUCACACUCAGUGCCACUGUAUGCCUCAGUUCUGGCUGAGACAGACAUCAAGAGGAUUUCCCAGAGUAGACAGAGCACAGAGCCCUUUGCCUCUUGUAUCUCUAGGACAGGACAGGCUCAUCAGGGUGGUUACUGAAUGUGGGAACUGAAGAUUGUGGUGAUGAAUCUCAUGGACUGAGAUAUAACACUGGAUUAGUAGAACAUAACUUUUGAAUGUUCGUGAGGAUGAUGCAGGAGCCCUAAAUGGAUGAAUGCUUGGAUGGGCUCCUAACAUUGUGGGUGGGGACAUGAGCGCCAGUCCAGUGAAGUGGUCACUGGAAGCUUACCGGUAGCAAUCCUGUCCUGGCGCUUUGCUGCCUCUCCUGAGUUCUUCAUGGCAUCACAUUCUACAAUGAUUCUCUGACAAUCUGCAUGGGUGGGCAAGUGACUACUGACUGAACUCUUUAUGAGCCAAAACAAAUUCCUCUUCCCCUUGAUUUGGGCAGGGAUUUGGUCACAGCAAUAAGAAAGGGAACUUAUAUGGAAGGCAAGAAUGGCCCAGUAUACAAGUCAGCAUGCUUCUGAGAAGCUAGAAAACCAGGAGUGUGCUGGAAAGAUGGCUCAAUGAUUAAGAGCACUGACUGCUCUUCUGAAGGUCCUGAGUUCAAAUCCCAGCAACCACAUAGUGGCUCAAAACCAUCUGUAAUGAGAUCUGAUGCCCUCUUCUGGUGUGUCUAAAGACAGCUACCAUAUACUCAUAAACAUAAAAUAAAUAAUUCUAAAAAAGAGGAGGAGGAGAAAACCAGGAGUGCUGCCUAAGCAGCAGCAGAGGCCAUGAGAGACUGUGUCUGGCAACUUCCCAGGAACCCUGGGCAUCUGACCUGGUAGGUGACUGGUCCAGUGUGUGAUGGCAGAAGUAAUACUGGAAGCCUACUCUAUUCCCUCAGUUAGAACACUUUGUAACUUUGCCUUAGAAGGGCUUAGUACUGAAAAGAUCUCUUUCUUUUUUCUUUUUGAGAUGAGGUCUCGCCAGGUUGCCUAGAUUGGGUUCAAACUUCUAGGUACAAAUAGGAGCUUCAGCCUCCCCAGGUAUGUACCAUCACACCCAGCUUAUAAAGAAAUUUGUUUUCUAGAAAUGACCUGGGUAGGAUUAUCAAGGGUUUACUGAAAACUACAUGGUGGGAAACUACCCCCUUCCCUCAGUCUAAGCUUGGAAUCAAGUUUUCAUAUCCCAGGUGCCACAUGCUUUGGUUUUCAGAUGGAGUUUAAGGCCACAUCUUAAGCUCUGUGAAGGAGGCUGUGUUUGGUGGGUGGAAGUUUGUGUAUGUCAUUGAUGAUUUUGAGAGACCAUUCUGGAUUAGAAUGUGGAUGGGAGAGCUAAUUCAGGUGGAUGCCUGACUUCCUAAGAGUGAGGCCAGGGACCACCCAUCUACUGGGCUGGGCUGGGCAACUCUCAGACUCAUCAACUCAGCUGCCACCCAGGGCUUGGAGACGGCCCACUCCAACAUCCACUCUUAUCUGUGAACUCCUGGAGCAUGUGAAGAGACUGGUUCUUCAGAACUAAAGCAGCAAGAUCUCUAUGACACAGAGCAACAACAGGAUAUCCACGAGGAGUCCUGGUGAGGAUCCAGUAUUGACAGCAUAACAGAAACCAGGGGCCUCGAACCAGACCAAUGACUCAUUGCAAUGAAUAUUUGCAAGAUUCAUGAACAUGACGGCUUCCAUGAUGAGAUGGUUUGUUCUUCUUUUUUUGUUUUUGUUUAUAUCUAUAUCUAUCUAUCUAUCUUUCUUUCUUUCUUUCUUUCUUUCUUUCUUUCUUUCUUUCUUUCUUUCUUUCUUUCUUUUUUUUUGGUUUUUCCCCACCUUGAGGAGGAGGUUGCAAGGGCAGAGGACAGAGAGAUGAAUGGAAUUGGAGUGCAUGAUAUGAAAUUCAAAGAAUCAAUACAAAGUUAAGAGGG
rnacentral:lncRNA from 1 species